rnacentral:rRNA from 1 species
ACUCCUACGGGAGGCAGCAGUGGGGAAUAUUGGACAAUGGGGCAACCCGUGAUCCAGCCAUGCCGCGUGUGUGAAGAAGGCCUUCGGGUUGUAAAGCACUUUCAGCGAGGAGGAAAGGUUAAGUGUUAAUAGCACUUAGCUGUGACGUUACUCGCAGAAGAAGCACCGGCUAACUCCGUGCCAGCAGCCGCGGUAAUACGGAGGGUGCAAGCGUUAAUCGGAAUUACUGGGCGUAAAGCGCGCGUAGGUUGUUUGUUAAGCGAGAUGUGAAAG